AUUGAACGCUGGCGGAAUGCUUUACACAUGCAAGUCGAACGGUAACAGGUCUUCGGAUGCUGACGAGUGGCGAACGGGUGAGUAAUAUAUCGGAACGUGCCCAGUCGUGGGGGAUAACGUAGCGAAAGUUACGCUAAUACCGCAUACGAUCUAGGGAUGAAAGCGGGGGAUCGCAAGACCUCGCGCGAUUGGAGCGGCCGAUAUCAGAUUAGGUAGUUGGUGGGGUAAAGGCUCACCAAGCCAACGAUCUGUAGCUGGUCUGAGAGGACGACCAGCCACACUGGAACUGAGACACGGUCCAGACUCCUACGGGAGGCAGCAGUGGGGAAUUUUGGACAAUGGACGCAAGUCUGAUCCAGCCAUUCCGCGUGCAGGAUGAAGGCCCUCGGGUUGUAAACUGCUUUUGUACGGAACGAAAAGGUCUCUAUUAAUACUAGGGGCUCAUGACGGUACCGUAAGAAUAAGCACCGGCUAACUACGUGCCAGCCGCCGCCGUAACAC
rnacentral:rRNA from 1 species